GGCCCCGCCCCCCCCGGGCUCUGAGGGAACGGCGGGCGGGGAGGCGACCGGGACCGGACCCGGACCCAGAGCCGGAGCCGGGGUGUCCCGGGGGUCUUUUCCUGAGGCAGAGCUGCCUUCAGCAGACACUGUGGACUCCUCUGUUGCUGCUCAGGUUAACGUGGGAUGCAUCCACAUCCUGCAGUGCUGGGCAUCCACACGGAAUACAUGGAGAGAAGUAAAUGGAAGAAGUUUUGGCUGUUUUCCAAGCAGUAUUGUAGAAAUGGCUUCCCAACAUGAAGUAACAGUUUUCUAGAGUGCAGGUACUCCCUGUGCCAUGCCUGCAUCCCACACAGCACGGUGCAAUUACAACUGAAGUGACAAAGAAAGGCCAAACCACUUCGUUAUUGUUGACUCUGAAUGGGAUGCUGAAAUAUGCAGCAGCCAGGUGUGGAAUGCUACAGGAUUGGGUGAGAUUGUGUGACUGCCUUUGUUAGAAGGUCAAAGUUCUGAUGCCUUCUGCAGCCUUCAGGUUAACAUGGUUCAAAUGGAUUGAUACCCCCCAGAUUGAGCAGUGUGAUACCAGGCUUGUACUCCUCCUGCCAUCUUUCUGUCUAAAGAGAAGGUUGAGAGCUGGACACAGUGUAUCAACACUGCCUUCCAGAAUGCAGCACAGCAAACGAUCCACCACAUAGCAAUAGAUCAACUGCCUGGUGCCCACCCUACUUUGUGUCCCGGGAAAGUCAUCCUAGCUGCAGUGUGCAGGCACUCUGGGAGUCCUCCAUCAAUCCACAAUCUGAUGCUUCCCCGAGGUAUGCACCUACUGUACAAGCAUGCAGUGCUUCUGUUGGUCAUACAUCAAUGCAACAGCUUGCUACUUCCUGAAAAUACUGGACUGACAAGAUUGGUGCUGUAAAAUUGAACUUGUUAUGCAGUGAACACAUUUGUGAUUCACAGAACUCCAGCAGCUUGCAGAAAGAGGAAGGGAGGGGGCAGCUGCCACGCAGUAGCUCUGACUGGAUUGCUGCAAGACUAGAAAUCCAGCAUGAAAUUGAAAGAUCCUCAAGUUUUGCUCACAGCAGGAGCAGACGGCAUGCCUGAGCACCCAGCUCUGGAGCCUUACCCACUCUCCCUGUCUGCUGCAAUAAAGCACUGUGUGGUUAAGUGUGAUGACUGACACAUGUCACAUGUCUUUAUGUUUCAUGAGUCUGUGAAUCAUUCAAUAAAGCCAUAGACACAUAGGAAAAUAGGUGUGGUUUCUCGAGGCCAAAAAUCCAGCCCGUUGCCAUUAUGUCAAACAACUGAUAAUCCUGCCUUCAUUACAAUCAUUUUUGUU